UAAAUGAUUACUGCUCUGCCUUUAUGAGACAGCUUCUAGACAGAAAGGAGCAGGAGGACCUCGGUGUACAUCUGCCAGGGCUGGGGAAUCCAGCCCUUGGGCAGGCGAGAGCAAACUCAAGAUAUGUAGACGCAGCUUCAGGCGCCCACGCUGCCCCAGAGGACAUGAAUCCUGGUGGGGAGAUGGUCCCUAUGGAGAUCUUCUGGAUGGGAAGCAGUGAAAGAUAAGCUAUUACCUGCCCACAAGGUUAACUUCUCAUAUUUAUCUCAAACACAGAGAGAGAGCACAGGCAGAAGAGAAGGGCAGAAGGAAAGAGAGAGAGAAUCUCAACCAGGCUCUACGCUGUAGGCAGAGCCCAAUGCGGGGCUCAAUCCCACGACACUGGGAUCAUGACCUGAGCCCAAACUGAGUUGGACGCUUAAUCGACUGAGUCUUCCAGGUGCCCCUAGAGGUUGAGCUGCCCACAGUGCUUUCCAAAUGCCUCCUAAACAUCCUCCUCUUGGGACACACAGCACACUGGAUCGGGAGGUCCUCAAGACCAGGAACUGGACCCGUAAUAUCUCCGAGAAAGCAUGAUAUCUGGGCUGAAAACGGCAGAUCCAACAAUUUUAAAAGAGUUUAUGCCCACGAUAUCCUAAGGCAAUGAGAAAUUUAUGUCAAGGAGAUUCGCACAACUGUAACUAUGAUCAGAAAUCUUCAAGGAAUCCUGGAGAACGAAAGAAAUCCACCCCCCGCCCUGCCAACAAGAAAUUAGCAUAUUUGUUUGCCACUUUCAGAAAUAAAAAUUUUCUUUUGGUGAAUCUAGAAAACGCUA